rnacentral:rRNA from 1 species
AGAUACGAUCGUCUGACCGUGUCUUGUAUCGAUGACUGCGCGCGGCGAAUAUCGAAUACCCAGGCAUACGCGUAUACCGUCCGACAAAGUUGACCAGAGUGAGCGCGCGUCCUCGUCGCCGGGCGUGUAUAACGUACGCGCGCUUUCGCGCAACGCCCGCCACCACCUUUCCCGACGACGAACGUUAAAUUAUUAACGGUUAAAUUAAUAAAAUAAAAAACGCAGCCUCUUUUCGACUAUUUGGCUUUUCACCAAUCGAGGAUCAACGACGAACGGGUCGCGACGUCCACGCGCGAGUUUUUUAACGCUCGCGCCGGCAGCAGUAAUUGCAAAUCGACGGCGACGCCUCGG